rnacentral:rRNA from 1 species
GAGACCGAUGCGCGAUUCCCGCCCUCCCGUCACGCCGCAGCCUCGCGGUUGUUGGUGUGCGGGGCCAAAGGACGGCGCGCUCCGCUUUGGUGACUCUGGAUAACUCACUGGUCGAUCGCACGGGCUCCACGCCCGGCGAC